rnacentral:rRNA from 1 species
UACAGAGGUCUCAAGCGUUGUUCGGAUUCAUUGGGCGUAAAGGGUGCGUAGGUGGCGCUGUAAGUCGGGUGUGAAAUUUCGGAGCUUAACUCCGAAACUGCACUCGAUACUGCGGUGCUUGAGGACUGGAGAGGAGACUGGAAUUCAUGGUGUAGCAGUGAAAUGCGUAGAGAUCAUGAGGAAGACCAGUGGCGAAGGCGGGUCUCUGGACAGUUCCUGACACUGAGGCACGAAGGCCAGGGGAGCAAACGGG